rnacentral:tRNA from 1 species
UCCCUUAUAGCUCAGUGGUAAAGAAUCUGCCUGCAACGCAGGAGACUCAGGUUUGGUCCCUGGAUUGGGAA